rnacentral:rRNA from 1 species
UGCUUAACACAUGCAAGUCGAACGAAGAGCGAUGGAAGCUUGCUUCUAUCAAUCUUAGUGGCGAACGGGUGAGUAACGCGUAAUCAACCUGCCCUUCAGAGGGGGACAACAGUUGGAAACGACUGCUAAUACCGCAUACGAUCCAACCUCGGCAUCGAGGAUGGAUGAAAGGUGGCCUCUAUUUAUAAGCUAUCACUGAAGGAGGGGAUUGCGUCUGAUUAGCUAGUUGGAGGGGUAACGGCCCACCAAGGCGAUGAUCAGUAGCCGGUCUGAGAGGAUGAACGGCCACAUUGGGACUGAGACACGGCCCAGACUCCUACGGGAGGCAGCAGUGGGGAAUCUUCCGCAAUGGACGAAAGUCUGACGGAGCAACGCCGCGUGAGUGAUGACGGCCUUCGGGUUGUAAAGCUCUGUUAAUCGGGACGAAAGGUCUUCUUGCGAAUAGUUAGAAGAAUUGACGGUACCGGAAUAGAAAGCCACGGCUAACUACGUGCCAGCAGCCGCGGUAAUACGUAGGUGGCAAGCGUUGUCCGGAAUUAUUGGGCGUAAAGCGCGCGCAGGCGGAUCAGUCAGUCUG